GGAAAACAGUGCAGAUAUGGUUUCUUUUGCUGAGACUGAAUUAACAAAUAAGUAUUUUUUGCUUUUGAGGAUGUUGGUGUCUUCAUCAGCCCAAGAGAAAAUCGGAACUCCUGAGGAACAGAGUUAGUUCAUUGCUCCUUUCAUUCUGCAUGUUCAGCACUGACGGAGCUACCUGGGAUAUCUAUCUGCAGCAGAGGUGCCAAGAAAUUUCAGUGGAACCAUCCUGCCAAACACACAGCCACACCUUUCCUUGAAGAAGGACGCCCCAGAACAGAGAGGACUUCCCUCCAGCUGGUGCUACAAGUGCCGAGUAAGCCUGUCCUGUGCUGACAUUGGUGGGGAAGAGUGACAUCGGGCGCUGGCUGGGGGCCCACUUGGUAGCAGGAGACCUUUGCGGCAUGAGCCAGAGGACGAGGUGCAGAGCCCUCCCUGGGACCGGCGUCAGACAGAUGGCCUGGCAGAUAUUCUGUGCCACCGACGGGCAGCCUGGCAUCUGGGGCCUCGUAUGCGAAUGACACUGCAAUUAUCACGAAAUGGAAAAGGAUGGAUACUGCUGUUGCAGUGGUUCAUGGGAGGAAUCCAAAUAAAUAUGACAUAG
rnacentral:lncRNA from 1 species